GCGGGGGUGCCCGAGCAAGGUCAAAGGGGGCGGACUGAGACUCUUAUAAGGAGCAGUAUGCUCCGCUGGUGUAGGCCUGCGUGGGUUCAAGUCCCACCCCCCGCA
rnacentral:tRNA from 1 species